CCUUGAUCCAGCCAUACCGCGUGUGUGAAGAAGGCCUUAGGGUUGUAAAGCACUUUAAGCGAAGAAGAAGAAAAGUAAGUUAAUACCUUAUUUUUUUGACGUUACUCGCAGAAUAAGUACCGGCUAACUCCGUGCCAGCAGCCGCGGUAAUACGGAGGGUGCAAGCGUUAAUCGGAAUUACUGGGCGUAAAGCGCGCGUAGGCGGUUAAGUAAGUUGGAUGUGAAAGCCCUGGGCUCAACCUAGGAACUGCAUUCAAAACUAUUUAACUAGAGUACGAGAGAGGAGAGUAGAAUUUCUGGUGUAGCGGUGAAAUGCGUAGAUAUCAGAAGGAAUACCAAUGGCGAAGGCAGCUCUCUGGAUCGUCACUGACGCUAAGGUGCGAAAGCGUGGGUAGCAAACAGGAUUAGAUACCCUGGUAGUCCACGCCGUAAACGAUGAGAACUAGCCGUUGGGGAGAAUUAACUCUCCAGUGGCACAGCUAACGCAUUAAGUUCUCCGCCUGGGGACUACGGCCGCAAGGCUGAAACUCAAAGGAAUUGACGGGGGCCCGCACAAGCGGUGUAUCAUGUGGUUUAAUUCGAUUCAACGCGAAGAACCUUACCUACCCUUGAAAUCCAGCGGAGUUCCUAGAGAUAGGAAUGUGCCUUCGGGAACGCUGUGACAGGUGUUGCAUGGCUGUCGUCAGCUCGUGUCGUGAGAUGUUCGGUUAAGUCCGAUAACGAGCGCAACCCCUAUCCUUAUUUGCCAGCGCAUAAUGGCGGGAACUAUAAGGAGACUGCCGGUCAUAAACCGGAGGAAGGCGGGGACGACGUCAAGUCAUCAUGGCCCUUAUGGGUAGGGCUACACACGUGAUACAAUGGGUGGUACAGAGGGUCGCCAAAGCGCGAGCUGGAGCCAAACCCUUAAAACCAUUCUUAGUCCGGAUUGGAGUCUGCAACUCGACUCCAUGAAGUUGGAAUCGCUAGUAAUCGCGAAUCAGAAUGUCGCGGUGAAUACGUUCUCGGGCCUUGUACACACCGCCCGUCACGUCAUGGAAGUGGGUUGCACCAGAAGUGGCUUGUUUAACCUUCGGGAAAACGGUCACCACGGUGUGAUUCACAACUGGGACGAAGUCGUAACAAGGUAGCCCUAGGGGAACCUGGGGCUG
rnacentral:rRNA from 1 species